UACGUAGGGUGCGAGCGUUGUCCGGAAUUAUUGGGCGUAAAGGGCUCGUAGGCGGUUUGUCGCGUCGGGAGUGAAAACUCAGGGCUUAACCCUGAGCCUGCUUCCGAUACGGGCAGACUAGAGGUAUGCAGGGGAGAAUGGAAUUUACGGUGUAGCGGUGAAAUGCGUAGAUAUCGUAAGGAAGACCAGUGGCGAAGGCGGGUCUCUGGACAGUUCCUGACGCUGAGGCACGAAGGUCAGGGGAGCAAACGGG
rnacentral:rRNA from 1 species